UGGAUGUUCAGAGAAGAUGUCUUUAUGCCC
rnacentral:piRNA from 1 species